rnacentral:rRNA from 1 species
AAUCAACGCUGGCGGCGUGCCUAACACAUGCAAGUCGAACGAGAAAGUGGAGCAAUCCAUGAGUAAAGUGGCGACCGGGUGAGUAACACGUGACUAACCUACCCUUGAAUGGGGAAUAACCUUCCGAAAGGAGGGCUAAUACCGCAUAAAGUCCUAAGGAUGAAACGCCUAAGGACCAAAGGAGCAAUUCGUUUAAGGAGGGGUCGCGGUUGAUUAGCUAGUUGGUGGGGUAAGUGGCCCACCAAGGCGANGAUCAAUAGCCGGCCUGAGAGGGCGCACGGCCACACUGGAACUGAAACACGGUCCAGACUCCUACGGGAGGCAGCAGUGGGGAAUUUUGCGCAAUGGGGGAAACCCGUGACGCAGCAACGCCGCGUG